rnacentral:rRNA from 1 species
CAUUACUGAGGUAUGCUUGGUGUCGUGUAAAAAGCGCGCCGGUUACCCGCCCAUUUGUCAUAUGCGCUGGACAUACCCUGCCUUCGGGCAGGGCAUGGCCAGGAACAUAAUUUCGGUCGAGGAGUUGUGGCAGGUUCUUGCUCUGCAGGACCGACAUGACCGCGGCCGGCCCAAUUUUAUACUCUUGUGAGAAGAUGAAGUCUGAAGCAAAAUGUAAAUAAAAGCAAAACUUUCAACAACGGAUCUCUUGGCUCUGGCAACGAUGAAGAACGCAGCGAAACGCGAAAGGUAAUGCGAAUUGCAGAAUCAGUGAGUCAUCGAAUCUUUGAACGCACAUUGCGCCUCUCGGUAUUCCGGGAGGCACGCCUGUUCGAGCGCCAUUACACACUCCAAGCGAUGCUUGAUGUUGGACGAUGCGAUGCCCUGGGUAUCGCACGUCUGGAACGCGUGGGCGCCCGCCGCCGGAACGUGAACGUAGCAAGACGUCAGUCACAAUCGUUCAGUAAGUUCUGACGGAGGGCCGCCUCAACUCUUUCUAUAAAUUUGGCCUCGGAUCAGGCGGGGAUACCCGCUGAACUUAA